CCGGGGAGAGGCCAGCCCGGCCUACAGUGCAGACACAGGACAGAGGGGAGCCAGGUUCUUUGCACUGACCAAUGCUGAGAGCAGACCCUCGGAGGAGCCAGGUCGGAAGUGUCUCUCCACAGUCACCAGAAAGAUCCGGGAUAGGAUGGGCAGCCCAGUGCACCGAGUGUCAUUGGGGGAUACCUGGAGCAGGCAAAUGCACCCCGACAUAGAGAGCGAGAGGUAUAUGCAGUCCUUUGACGUGGAACGGCUCACCAACAUCCUGGAUGGAGGUGCCCAGAACACUGCACUCCGCAGGAAAGUUGAUCCAUGAAGCAAGUGGGUGAGAAGAUUUGAAGAGCCCUUUCUGGAGACGUGGCCUUAAAUAUACACAGAGUCUUCCUGAGAGCCCUCAGGAGCCUGGGCUCAGAGGAGCAGAUUGCCAAA
rnacentral:sRNA from 1 species